UACGUAGGGUGCAAGCGUUGUCCGGAAUUAUUGGGCGUAAAGCGUCCGCAGGUGGCACUUCAAGUCUGUCGUCAAAGACUGGGGCUUAACCCUGGAAAGGCGGUGGAAACUGUCUGGCUUGAGUCCGGAAGGGGCGAGUGGAAUUCCUGGUGUAGCGGUGAAAUGCGCAGAUAUCAGGAGGAACACCAAUGGCGAAGGCAGCUCGCUGGAACGGUACUGACGCUGAGGCGCGAAAGCGUGGGGAGCAAACGGG
rnacentral:rRNA from 1 species